rnacentral:rRNA from 1 species
GACGAAGGGGGCUAGCGUUGUUCGGAAUUACUGGGCGUAAAGCGCGUGUAGGCGGUUGUUCAAGUCGGGUGUGAAAGCCUUGAGCUCAACUCAAGAAAUGCACUCGGUACUGGAUGACUAGAGGACCGGAGAGGAUAGUGGAAUUCCCAGUGUAGUGGUGAAAUACGUAGAGAUUGGGAAGAACACCAGUGGCGAAGGCGGCUACCUGGACGGUUUCUGACGCUAAGACGCGAAAGCGUGGGGAGCAAACAGG